CAGUUUUACAACUCUUUUAAAAUGUGUCUAGUAGAUUUUCUGGUCUUUACCAGAAAGACUCA
ensembl:snRNA U7 U7 small nuclear RNA